rnacentral:rRNA from 1 species
AGAGUUUGAUCCUGGCUCAGGACGAACGCUGGCGGCGUGCCUAACACAUGCAAGUGGAGCGACGAACCAGGCUUCGGCCUGGGGCAAAGCCGCGAACGGGUGAGUAACACGUGGGUAACCUGCCCCGAUGAUUGGGACAACCCGAGGAAACUCGGGCUAAUACCAAAUGUGCCCUCCGACCAUAAGGUCUCUGGGGAAAGGAAGCUUCGGCCUCCGCAUCGGGAUGGGCCCGCGGCCCAUUAGCUUGUUGGUGAGGUAAUGGCUCACCAAGGCUACGAUGGGUAGCUGGUCUGAGAGGACGAUCAGCCACACUGGGACUGAGACACGGCCCAGACUCCUACGGGAGGCAGCAGUGGGGAAUCUUGCGCAAUGCGCGAAAGCGUGACGCAGCAACGCCGCGUGGGUGAAGAAGGCCUUCGGGUUGUAAAGCCCUUUCAGUUGGGACGAAGCUUCACCGGUGAAUAGCCGGUUGGAGUGACGGUACCUUCAGAAGAAGCCCCGGCUAACUACGUGCCAGCAGCCGCGGUAAUACGUAGGGGGCAAGCGUUGUCCGGAAUCAUUGGGCGUAAAGCGCGUGUAGGCGGCUCGGUAAGUCCGCUGUGAAAGUCCAGGGCUCAACCCUGGAAUGCCGGUGGAAACUGUCGAGCUAGAGUCCGGAAGAGGCGAGUGGAAUUCCUGGUGUAGCGGUGAAAUGCGCAGAUAUCAGGAGGAACACCAAUGGCGAAGGCAGCUCGCUGGGACGGUACUGACGCUGAGACGCGAAAGCGUGGGGAGCAAACAGGAUUAGAUACCCCGGUAGUCC